UUUCAACCGAAUCCGCGACCGAAGACAGCAGGGGCCUUGACGCUUAAUCAGCCUGCCGAGGUUGGCACAUGGGAAGUACGCCUCCAGGCUUUUUCCCUUUGCGCCUCGCUUCGAAUAUCGGCGGGGCGAUUUUUUUGCCCAACC
rfam:Gloeobacter violaceus PCC 7421 DNA, complete genome.